AAUAUUUCUCUCUCUCAAGCCGGUAGUCAUUGUUACAAUUAAGGAUGGAGCUCUUAGGUACAAGCAAGUCUUCUCGACACUGUUACAAGAAGGCAUUUUUUCCCCAUUUAUACUUGAGGAAAACAACCAAGGCUCAGAGAGGUAACAUCUUUUGUCCCAAAUCAAACAGCUGCUGCCAGCUGGUUGUGGCUAAGGAGAGACAUACAUGGCAGAGAACUGAUGUCUCCAGACAACAUCCAGCAAGGACUGAAGUCUGCCAACAGUUACAUGAGUGAGCCUGGAAGUGGAUCCUUCCGUAGUUGAGCCUUGAGAUGACCACAGCCUAGACCUCUGACUAUGUGAAGAUACGGUGGGAAGAUGACUGACCGCAAGACAGGAAGAGAGCCCUCACCGAGGAACCAAAUUGGCCAGUAUCUUGAUUUUGGAUUUCUCAACCUCAAGAACCAUGAGAAAUGAAUGUCUGCUGUUCAAGCCACCCAGUCAAUGAAGCAUCUAUCGAUCUUCAUUUGAAAUUAUGUGUCAGAAACUGCAAUAAUAGAAGUAAAGAGAAUGGGCUAGGUAAUGUAAGAAU
ensembl:lncRNA LINC01619 long intergenic non-protein coding RNA 1619